rnacentral:rRNA from 1 species
UUGAAGAGUUUGAUCAUGGCUCAGAUUGAACGCUGGCGGCAGGCUUAACACAUGCAAGUCGAACGAUGAUUAUCUAGCUUGCUAGAUAUGAUUAGUGGCGGACGGGUGAGUAACAUUUAGGAAUCUACCUAGUAGUGGGGGAUAGCUCGGGGAAACUCGAAUUAAUACCGCAUACGACCUACGGGUGAAAGGGGGCGCAAGCUCUUGCUAUUAGAUGAGCCUAAAUCAGAUUAGCUAGUUGGUGGGGUAAAGGCCUACCAAGGCGACGAUCUGUAGCGGGUCUGAGAGGAUGAUCCGCCACACUGGGACUGAGACACGGCCCAGACUCCU